AGUGAACGCUGGCGGCAGGCCUAACACAUGCAAGUCGAACGGCAGCACAGAGGAGCUUGCUCCUUGGGUGGCGAGUGGCGGACGGGUGAGGAAUACAUCGGAAUCUGCCUAUUUGUGGGGGAUAACGUAGGGAAACUUACGCUAAUACCGCAUACGACCUACGGGUGAAAGCGGAGGACCUUCGGGCUUCGCGCAGAUAGAUGAGCCGAUGUCGGAUUAGCUAGUUGGCGGGGUAAAGGCCCACCAAGGUGACGAUCCGUAGCUGGUCUGAGAGGAUGAUCAGCCACACUGGAACUGAGACACGGUCCAGACUCCUACGGGAGGCAGCAGUGGGGAAUAUUGGACAAUGGGCGCAAGCCUGAUCCAGCCAUGCCGCGUGGGUGAAGAAGGCCUUCGGGUUGUAAAGCCCUUUUGUUGGGAGAGAAAAGCAGUCGGUUAAUACCCGAUUGUUCUGACGGUACCCAAAGAAUAAGCACCGGCUAACUUCGUGCCAGCCGCCGCGGUAAAAC
rnacentral:rRNA from 1 species